GUGAGGAAUAUUGGUCAAUGGACGGAAGUCUGAACCAGCCAUGCCGCGUGCAGGAAUAAGGUCCUAUGGAUUGUAAACUGCUUUUAUUCUGGAAUAAACCUCUUUACGUGUAGGGAGCUGAAGGUACCGAAGGAAUAAGCACCGGCUAACUCCGUGCCAGCAGCCGCGGUAAUACGGAGGGUGCAAGCGUUAUCCGGAAUCAUUGGGUUUAAAGGGUCCGCAGGCGGGCUAUCAAGUCAGAGGUGAAAUCCCACAGCUUAACUGUGGAACUGCCUUUGAAACUGAUGGUCUUGAAUUAAGUGGGCGUUGGCGGAAUAUGACAUGUAGCGGUGAAAUGCAUAGAUAUGUCAUGGAACACCGAAAGCGAAGGCAGCUAACGAUACUUAUAUUGACGCUCAUGGACGAAAGCGUGGGUAGCGAACAGGAUUAGAAACCCCUGUAGUCC
rnacentral:rRNA from 1 species